CUUUCUCCACCCAGCUGUAGAUCAGGAUACAUGAAUGCUGGGGAGGAGGAUAGUGGCAGAAAUAAGAGAGGGGGAGAGGGAGAGAGAAGGAGGAGGAGGAGGUAAGAAAAAAGGCAAGACAUAGUAGGACAGAGAGUGUUGGAGGGCAGCAUACUGUAGCACACUGCUGUGUUGUGAUUAUGGAGUGAGCAUGGAGCAGCAAGACCAAAACAAGAGGAGAAGGGGGAUACAAUGAGGACACAGCUUGGCUUCAUGUCUGAUCAAUAAAAGGUAGAUUAGUUGAGAAUCAUUAGGAAAGAGGGCUCAUUCAACACUGCUUGCAGACUCCUCUGAGUUUGCAUUCUACUACAAAGGGAUUUGAAAUAUGAAGGCAAAGUCAGUCUAAACCUUGAGGAAUCUAUGAGGACGUAAAACAGAAAGCGGAAAACUAGCUCCUGACAUUUGGACUCAAGACAACAACAAGACAUCUUGCAGCAGGAUCAAGCAAACACUCAGACGGAUGUAAUGGUGUGGAAACGCUGCCACUCUCUCGAGUUAUCAGAGUUUUGAGUCAGCCAAACAAAGGAUGGGGAGACGAGCGGCUGACCUGACAACUCCGGUUCCAGUUUUAGGUGUCCCUGCCCUGGUUGGAGUGCGUGGUUGGAGGACAACAGGAGGAGACAGAACCGGAGGAGCCCUGCUGCAGACGUGGGGACCUCAGUGCAGCGUUGGUGUUCAGACGUCCCCUGGGAUCAGCAGACCAUCCACCCAGCACAGCGUGCAGCUAACUGAUAGGCUCUCGACACCAUCAGAUAACAUUGCUCAAACAUCCAGCAGCUAUAUUACCAAGGAAACAGAGUACAAGGAGGUAUUACUGCUAACAAAGAGUGACAAGGAGAAAAGGGCUAUUUUAAAACAGAAAAGUGGAGAAUCCAAGACCAAAAAGGAAGUGACUUUCAGAGCACUUGGAGGUGAGGCCUCUGAGGAUGUGGCCUGCAGUCAGAGGAGCAGCUGUGGGACUUAUUGCUAUGCCAGGGCAAUCAAGACCAACCCACACUUUGCAGGGAAUGUAACCAAUGUCAAGCCUAAAUCGAAAUCUGCUGCCCGCUACACGAAUGGCAGCGUGGUUGAUUCAGAUGCCAUUGGUGGAAUAAGUGUUCAUAGCGAUGAAGUAGAGCCUGUUAAGAGUGCAAACUCUUGUGGAAGAGACCAAACCAGACUGCAAGGUCAUUAUGCAGAGCGGUGUGGGAAGACACUGCUGUUAUCUGCUGCCCGACCUUUCGGUAUGACACAAAAAAUAUGCAGCAAUUGUGGUGGCAGACAGUCUGCAGCCACCGGAGUUGCGACAUCGGGGGAGAAAAGCACUACUCCUGACGCUCGCCUUGAAGAGAAACCAGUCCUCACCUCGCUCUCCACUACCACGCAUGUCCAGAUGCCCCAUGUUGAGAAAAGCCUGAAGUCAAGCCUUCUUGAAAUCUCUGAGAGCGUCACAGACAGAAACAAAAGGACACCCAAUAACCCACAACUGUUAUAUUUUAGUGAAGAGCUAAAGUAUGGAAAAACACCACACCCAGCAUGCCCAGUGCACUCUAGGGGGAAUUUGGUCAAUUUGUCACAGACACAUGCUGCCGGUGAUGCAACAUCCUCUCAACACACAACCAUCCUACAUGCUAAAACCAUCACUGUAACUAAAGCAACUAUUGAAACAAGACAUGAGGAUGCCAGUAUAAAAUCUUCAGCAAAACCAUCACAGGACGGUAAGAUCCCCCGACCAACAAGUCUAAUGUUGACUCCACAGAUGGCCACAGCUACCAAACCAAACAACCCACAUUCACACACUUAUCCUAAGCACCUCAAAUCAUUACGACACAACUCUACGCAACAUAACGUGCCUCAAAGUGUAUGUGUAUCUGUGCACCCUACACCUGAAAAUACUCUGUCGCCACCUUCCUGUUCACAUGCUGCAGGAAACACAUUCACUGCCAACACAUGCAGAACAACCACAACCUUUCAUACUGCACUGAUGUCCACUGAAAGCAUACCCGCAAAAGUUGCCAAUGCUCAACCUGCAGCAACAGUAAACAUAGCAAAAAAUAGUCCAAGAAUGACCCCUAAAUGUCCCACCUUAUCACUGGCAGCCAAUGCAUCAGACCAAAACCAUAAACCAAAAAUAACUGCACAACCUACACAUGCAAGUCCACCAUGUACCACAUCGGAUCCAGGUAAUACACAACGAGUAAAGCCCUCAUCAAACGUCGACAGCAAAUCUCCAGGUAAAGCAUCUUUUAUUGACACUGUAAUGAACACUGUCGUCUCGCAGAGCUCUUUGAAUCAUAGCUCUAAUUCAGACCGAUUUACAUAUACCAGCACUAAACAUAAUUCAGUAGCCUCACAAAUUCACCUAAUUCAACGUAACUCCUCAAAAUCUGAACCUACACUUCAUGUUUCUACAGCGUCUCUAAACACAACACCAAAUGCAGCAAAACCCCCAGACUCAAGAGCUAGGUUGCCUUCAAGUGCAGCUCCCAGCUCUGCAUUUACAUGCAGCAGCACUCUAUACAGAAAUAAAGCCCUCAAGUACUCCUCCAUCAACCUGAAAAAUCCACCACCCACAGCCUCCACUUCUUCAUCUACAUUGACAGGAAACCAAAGUAACGUCUGUGUUUCAGGUACAACUUCUCUUCAAUCAGCAGACACAAAGCAACAUCACAAAGAUCUAAGUCAUAAAGAAGCGCCUCAUGUAAAUCAACCUGAGCGCACACAAGGAACAGACAGCAGAGCUCAAACCGGUAAUGAGUCUGGUGUGUGCGGUGUUGUUUCCAAUCAGGAAAACAACUCCAUAACAACUCCAGUUUUAUUAUCUGAGCCGUUAAAUGUGUCAAAAUAUCCCAACAGAGGCAGCGAUGCAAGCAUCCACAAUCCUGCAUCAAACAUUAGUCCCUAUACUGAAUCAUAUACUGAUGAAAACAAAUUCAAUGGUAAUCUAAUCAAUGAAUUAGUUGUGCAUGAGUCAAAUGACCAUGAAAAUUCAAAUCUGUCCCAGGUCACCAACCUUCAGAAUUACAUUUCCCUAAUUAAAUCAAGCAGCUCUUGUCUGCAGGGUUGCAUAAACACGAAACAACAAAGGCUCGCACAUUAUCAAGGAUACACAAAAACAGAACAUGAGGGACACUUUGCUGCAUGCCCACCAGUAAAAACAACCCUGGAGAUGGAUACAAAUACAAAACAGUUUGCCUUGGGUGUAUCAGUCAGGCAUGCUAAUAUUAAUCUUAAAUGCAAUGCAGAUGAACAGACACUUCCAAGCUACUCUGCCACAGCACGCACAAACUGUGAGCCCACUAUCUCAUCACUUAAAAACACCAGUACACAUGUCGACCCUGUCACCGAACCUUCAGUCCACCAAAACUCUGAUUCAGAUACUUCUUCAUUACCGCAGGUACACACAGGUUCAGAGCUUUCUUUCACUGCACCAGCCCCUUUUAACAGUGAGCGAGAGCUCUGUAUGCACACAGGCCCUGAAUGUAAUUCCAUAUUGCCAUCAUCAACAAUGCACUUGGCAUCCCUUCCCCGCCUCCAGUCCUGCGAGGCAGAGGCAAUCGUCAGACCGGAUUCAAAGUUUAGCCCUGCUCCCCCUCAGCCGUGCCCAGAGGACACCAGCCUGGCUCACUCCCACCCAGCUGCUGCAGCUCUGUUGCUGCCUCCUUCCCCACAGUGCUGCAAAUCAGCAGCCCUACAGCAGAGGCUCGAGACUGUGGAGGCCAGCCUGGCAGCCAACAAGGACAGGAUCACCACUCUGCUUAACAUUAUCCAUGACCUGGAGACGUGCCACACUCCCACCAGCGGGUGACAUAGGGUGACACCCAGGGGGCAAAAAUCAAACAUAAGUCGGCGAUGCUACAAAACUGGACAGGACCUCAAAAACUGCUCAACCUGCCAGAAGACUGCUUGUAUUGUCUACAGUGUGGAGUAUGACUUCAGGCAGCAGGAGAAACGCUUCUUGGAGGUUCUGAAUUGCUCAGCAAGAGGAAACAACGCUUUCUCCGUGCACCUAUCCCAGCCAAUGAAGUUCAGCCUGCUCAGAAAUGUCAUCAUUAAGAACUUAACAAAGUCAAAGGUGAGGAGCAAAAAGCUGUGCAAGACCCUGUUCAAAUGGUUGCCCAGGAAAAUUCAGCAAGUGUAAACAUCUCAACCUGUGUGCUGUUUAAUAGCCAUAAGCCUGUGUUACAAGUGACCAGCAGAAGCCUUUGCAGAGGACUCUUACUAUUCCCUUCAUACCCACAGAAGGAGAUUACUCUGAAUUAAGCGCUUACCCAGUAGAGUUUCUCUCUCCUGCACAUUGUCAAGCUUAUAAACAUGAUUUUGUACUCAAAUUUGCCCCUGAUCUCUGUGACCUUCAGCUACUAUCGUCCCAAAGGAAUUCUUUAUUUCACUUUUGAAAGUUAAUGUAAUUUUGUUGUCAAAAUGCCUGCAUAAAAUAUAUGGCACAAAUUUCUUUAUCUAUUUUCCAUAUGAGAUUCUGUUGCACUGUUAUGAUAAAUGCACUAUGAGUUCCAGUUGAUACAUUUCCCCAUCAAUCAUCCCUCUUACCUGCUUCUCCUCAGACUAAAUGUGCAAUAUAUAAAACAAAUUUUUGAAUGGAAUCAUUUUGAAAUGCAAAAAUAAAUCAGAAUUUACUGAUUGUUUAUUCGUCUGUAAAUCUGUUCAUUUAUC